AUUGAACGCUGGCGGCAGGCCUAACACAUGCUAGUAGAACGAGUGGCGGACGGGUGAGUAAUGUCUGGGGAACUGCCUGAUGGAGGGGGAUAACUCCUGGCAACGGUAGCUAAUACCGCAAACCAUCGGAUGUGCCCAGAUGGGAUUAGCUAGGAGGUGGGGUAACGGCGCACCUAGGCGACGAUCCCUAGCUGGUCUGAGAGGAUGACCAGCCACACUGGAACUGAGACACGGUCCAGACUCCUACGGGAGGCAGCAGUGGGGAAUAUUGCACAAUGGGCGCAAGCCUGAUGCAGCCAUGCCGCGUGUAUGAAGAAGGCCUUCGGGUUGUAAAGUACUUUCAGCGGGGAGGCGUUACCCGCAGAAGAAGCACCGGCUAACGCCGUGCCAGCAGCCGCGGUAAUUC
rnacentral:rRNA from 1 species